GCCACUAUGGUACAGUGGUUAGAUCACCCGCCAAUGAUGAAUUUCAGCGGUGGGAGCCUCGGGGUUCGAUCCCCUGUGGUGGUC